AGAAAUAGAGGAAAGUCCGAGCAUCCACAAUCUGUGAUGAUUGUAGUGUUUGUACUGCAUCUAAUAAAUGCAGGUAGCUUGGCUAACGACAGACCUAAGACCUAAACCGUCAGGCAUGGUUGAUAAGUCAUAAAGUGCCACAGAAACAAUGUCUUUUGAAAAAAAGAGUGAAAAGAGGUAAACUCUGCAAGGAUGAAACCCAAAUUUUGGUAGGGGAGCUUCAUGAAAGGAAACGAACGGACAUGAAGAUGCAAUGCAUAGAUAAAUAAUCGGUUGAAAAACAGAACUCGGCUUAUC
rnacentral:RNase_P_RNA from 1 species